rnacentral:rRNA from 1 species
UACGUAGGGUGCGAGCGUUAAUCGGAAUUACUGGGCGUAAAGCGUGCGCAGGCGGUCUGUUAAGACCGAUGUGAAAUCCCCGGGCUUAACCUGGAAACUGCAUUGGUGACUGGCAGGCUUUGAGUGUGGCAGAGGGAGGUAGAAUUCCACGUGUAGCAGUGAAAUGCGUAGAGAUGUGGAGGAAUACCGAUGGCGAAGGCAGCCUCCUGGGCCAACACUGACGCUCAUGCACGAAAGCGUGGGGAGCAAACAGG